CAGAGUGAAUUUUAAAUAAUUGAAAACUAUAUUUUUUUAAAAUAUUCGAAUUGAUCAACAUCAAUAUUGCAGUCGUACUAAAUGAUGCAUAGCUCAAGUCGACGAGUACGCGCACUCACACAUAUUUUCGGAUAUCCUUUAGAUACGAUUAUGCCGUCGAAUAUAUAAUGCAGUUUUUGCAAUUAUGCGUUUUUUAAUCAUAUGUCACUGCAAAUAAACAUCCCAACGCGAUUGUAAAACAAUGACUUCUUCAACUGUCACUGCCAUUUUCCUCGGAAUCGUCGAUUGUGAGGUACAAUUUUGUUUUCCGACACUAUGAAACUGGGAAAAUUGGGUCUAGCUUGACAUGAGAAAACGCAACGACACGCGCCACGCAAGAGUGCAUCCGCAGGAGAAGCGUACUUCAAACUGGCGCCAUGCGCUUCGACGACGACGAUGAUGACGAUGGUGAAAAACGGUAGCACGAGCAAUUUGUGUUCCAAUAAAGAUCACGUUGCAAGGCCGGCGUUUAACUCCGAUUCCGACCAGUGUCGAGCGUGUAAGUUGCCGUGUAAAAUGACACUGUGGCAUUUUGCUUCGCUCGUUAAAGAAGACACACGUUCGAUUUAUGCACGCACCAGACCAUCAGGCGAAUAUUCAGCACUUCUAACGACAUGAAAAUUUGUGUUCUUCCUAUAUAACGCAAAGUAGAGAAAAAUCGCUUCAAAACGCUCAUAGCGGUUUAGAUCGAGAAGAAGCUUAUUUUAAGGACCAACCAAAUAAGAAAUCAAUUAUAGGCAAGAAAAAAUCUUCGGCUCUAUCACGGUUUC